rnacentral:lncRNA from 1 species
GCCUUGGCUGUGAAAAUCAUAGAGAAAAGGGAGAGGAAGUAUCGCGAGAAUUAUUGAAUCACAAGUCUUCAUCCCUCAUUUCUACACUUGGAGCAAGGCAUAAGCUUGGGAUUAACUCAGAGCAAGGAAGCUGCAUUCACUUUUCCCCUGACAUGAUCCACUGGGAAUGAAUGAAUGAUGGAAGAUUUGACUCCGUUACUGUGAAUAAUCUACAAUUCUCCAAAAGUGCAUCAUCAG